ACAGGAUUACCUGGGGAUCUUAUUAAAAUGCAGCUUCUGACUUAGCAGGACUGAGUCUCUGCAUCUCUAACAAGUUCCCAGGUGAUGCUGAU
rnacentral:miRNA from 1 species